CCUACUUUUGCGUCCAUUCGUUUUUCGUUUUUUAACCCAGAAAUAAAAUACGGAAAAUGCGGUUUCUUCUUUAAUGGUUCAAACACUGAUGAAUAGAAUAAGCAGACACAAACUAAUUUUCAUUAUUCAAAAUUCGUAUUUCAUUAAAAAUCGUAAAAAUGAAAUAAAACUUGUUUAACUAUAUUAUAGAUCAGUGAUUAUAACGGAUUUUUGUGACGCAAAGGAUAGCUACACGGUACAGGCUUUACAUUUUUUAUAUCAAUGUUGUAAUUAGCCAUUCAUUUAAUUUUUAUCUUUGAAGCAGAUUUGUUACGUGACAGCGUUAAUUAAAGGUGCUGUAUGUAAGAUUUUGACUCUACUAAAACAUAAAAAUAGGCCUACCAUAAUAUGUUUGCAGAUAUUUAAGAAACGCUAGUUAACAUAGCCUACUUGUUUAUCUGGAAAACAAUGCUACAGUCAGUUAUUCUCAUUUGAAAAUAAAUAAGUUCUCGGGAUUACACAAUCAACGAUUUUUGCUUGUGAAUAUAAAACUUAGCCUACCCAACAAAAUAAAGAGGAGAAAUUUCGCGAAAUCAUUCUCUGAUAAAGGUUUGCUGCUUAACAAUCUUGCGUAGCUGUAUUCUAACAGAAUUAGAUUAAUAAGUUUAAGUUCAUUUCUAUAACUAACGUGUCCUCUCUCACACUUCUCACGUUUCUAGGUUGUGAGAGCAAGAAUGGUACAAGCUGUGAGGAAUGCUUGGCAUAUGUGGAUGUGAGUUUGGAUAAAAUUUUGCCUCUUUCUUUGAUGUUUUUUGCCUGUCGCCAGUCAAUAAAGCAGACUGGCAUGUUUUAUUCCAACUAUUAAAUACUAUGUUUACUUAUGGCAAAAACAUGGGUGAAAACAUAUUACAGUAUGAGAGAGUGUUGUAUAAAUGAGAUCUGAUGAGAACCAAAAACAUGAGGAGACAUGAGAUGAGAAAGAGAAAAACAGAGUGACAAGGAAAUAAUGAACUCAGCAAGCAGCAAGAUUUACAGGAUUUUUUUACACUUUCAGAUCAUCACAUACCUCACCCGUGGAACAGGUUUGGGCUGUUCUGGGUGUUUACAGCUUCAUACUCUUUCUAAGAGCUCAGUGUCACUUGAGAUCUCCUGUGAACUUCCCUUAAAAAACACGCACACACAGCUUUUCUCAGUUAAUGACGUGUGUGUCAGUAUCAACCCUGUAAUAACUGGUCUCUACUGAUGUCAUUACCCUCAUCGCCAUUGGUACUGUAACUAUCUGCAACCCUAAAUUCAGAGAAUAAAACAUCUUGAGCUUUGAGUCCUGGAUACAGUAGAUGACUGUAUAUAACAAUCUUUUCUCUCUUUUUAGUGUCUGUGGUGCAUUCCAACUAAAACAUGUAUAACAUACCCAGCCAAAACCAUCCUGCCCCCCCCAUUCCCCUCUGGCCCACUGAGUGAUGCUCGAUGGGGCCUUUGCACAAGUAAGAUAUGUUUUUAAAUUUGUCUCUGUACUUAUUUUUCUACUAUUUGUUAUUUACGCACUGUGUUCCC
rnacentral:lncRNA from 1 species